rnacentral:rRNA from 1 species
AUUGAACGCUGGCGGCAGGCCUAACACAUGCAAGUCGAACGAGUGGCGGACGGGUGAGUAAUGUCUGGGAAACUACCCGAUGGAGGGGGCUAACUACUGGAAACGGUAGCUAAUACCGCAUACCAUCGGAUGUGCCCAGAUGGGAUUAGCUAGUAGGUGGGGUAAAGGCUCACCUAGGCGACGAUCCCUAGCUGGUCUGAGAGGAGGACCAGCCACACGGGAACUGAGACACGGUCCAGACUCCUACGGGAGGCAGCAGUGGGGAAUAGUGCACAAUGGGCGCAAGCCUGAUGCAGCCAUGCCGCGUGUAUGAAGAAGGCCUUCGGGUUGUAAAGUACUUUCAGCGAGGAGGCGUUACCCGCAGAAGAAGCACCGGCUAACUCCGUGCCAGCAGCCGCGGUAAUUC